GACGAACGCUGGCGGCGUGCUUAACACAUGCAAGUCGAACGGAAAGGCCCUGCUUGCAGGGUGCUCGAGUGGCGAACGGGUGAGUAACACGUGGGUGAUCUGCCCCUUACUUUGGGAUAAGCCUGGGAAACUGGGUCUAAUACUGGAUAGGACCAUGCUGUAGGUGGUGUGGUGGAAAGAUUAGUUUCGGUAAGGGAUGAGCUCGCGGCCUAUCAGCUUGUUGGUGGGGUAAUGGCCUACCAAGGCGUCGACGGGUAGCCGGCCUGAGAGGGUGGACGGCCACAUUGGGACUGAGAUACGGCCCAGAAUCCUACGGGAGGCAGCAGUGGGGAAUAUUGCACAAUGGGCGCAAGCCUGAUGCAGCGACGCCGCGUGGGGGAUGACGGCCUUCGGGUUGUAAACUCCUUUCAGCCAUGACGAAGCCCUUGUGGUGACGGUAGUGGUAGAAGAAGCACCGGCUAGCUACGUG
rnacentral:rRNA from 1 species